GACGAACGCUGGCGGCGUGCUUAAUACAUGCAAGUCUACGAUUUUUAAAGUAGCAAUAUUUUAAAGAGAGUGGCGCACGGGUGAGUAACACGUAGGUAAUCUGCCUUUAGGUCUGACACAACUCGUCGAAAGACGGGCUAAUAUCAGAUAAUGCAGCGAUCCGGCAUCGGGUUGUUGUCAAAGCUUCGGCGCCCAAAGAUGAGCCUGCGGUCCAUUAGGUAGUUGGCGGAGUAACGGCCCACCAAGCCAACGAUGGAUAGCUGGUCUGAGAGGAUGAUCAGCCACACUGGAACUGAGACACGGUCCAGACUCCUACGGGAGGCAGCAGUAAGGAAUAUUGCUCAAUGGCCGAAAGGCUGAAGCAGCAACGCCGCGUGAAGGAUGAAGGGUCUUUGGCUUGUAAACUUCUGUAAAGGGGAAAAUAAUCCCGCAAUGCGGGACUUGAUUGUACCCUUAAAGUAAGCCCCGGCU
rnacentral:rRNA from 1 species